UGGCUCACAUUUAACAAAAACCCACCAAUUCACUAUCUCAAAAAAUUAGAAUAUGGUGACAUGCCAAUCAGCUAAUCAACUCAAAACACCUGCAAAGGUUUCCUGAGCCUUCAAAGUGGUCUCUCAGUUUGGUUCACUAGGCUACACAAUCAUGGGGAAGACUGCUGAUCUGACAGUUGUCCAGAAGACAAUCAUUGACACCCUUCACAAGGAGGGUAAGCCACAAACAUUCAUUGCCAGAGAAGCUGGCUGUUCACAGAGUGCUGUAUCCAAGCAUGUUAACAGAAAGUUGAGUGGAAGGAAAAAGUGUGGAAGAAAAAGAUGCACAACCAACCGAGAGAACCGCAGCCUUAUGAGGAUUGUCAAGCAAAAUCGAUUCAAGAAUUUGGGUGAACUUCACAAGGAAUGGUUGAGGCUGGGUCAAGGCAUCAAGAGCCACCACACACAUAUGUGUCAAGGAAUUUGGCUACAGUUGUUGUAUUCCUCUUGUUAAGCCACUCCUGAACCACAGACAAUGUCAGAGGUGUCUUACCUGGGCUAAGGAGAAGUAGAACUGGACUGUUGCCCAGUGGUCCAAAGUCCUCUUUUCAGAUGAGAGCAAGUUUUGUAUUUCAUUUGGAAACCAAGGUCCUAGAGUCUGGAGGAAGGGUGGAGAAGCUCAUAGCCCAAGUUGCUUGAAGUCCAGUGUUAAGUUUCCACAGUCUGUGAUGAUUUGGGGUGCAAUGUCAUCUGCUGGUGUUGGUCCAUUAUGUUUUUUGAAAACCAAAGUCACUGCACUCGUUUACCAAGAAAUUUUGAAGCACUUCAUGCUUCCUUCGCUGACCAGCUUUUUAAAGAUGCUGAUUUCAUUUUCCAGCAGGAUUUGGCACCUGCCCACACUGCCAAAAGCACCAAAAGUUGGUUAAAUGACCAUGGUGUUGGUGUGCUUGACUGGCCAGCAAACUCACCAGACCUGAACCCCAUAGAGAAUCUAUGGGGUAUUGUCAAGAGGAAAAUGAGAAACAAGAGACCAAAAAAUGCAGAUGAGCUGAAGGCCACUGUCAAAGAAACCUGGGCUUCCAUACCACCUCAGCAGUGCCAUAAAAUGAUCACCUCCAUGCCACGCCGAAUUGAGGCAGUAAUUAAAGCAAAAGGAGCCCCUACCAAGUAUUGAGUACAUAUACAGUAAAUGAACAUACUUUCCAGAAGGCCAACAAUUCACUAAAAAUGUUUUUUUUAUUGGUCUUAUGAUGUAUUCUAAUUUUUUGAGAUAGUGAAUUGGUGGGUUUUUGUUAAAUGUGAGCCAAAAUCAUCACAAUUAAAAGAACCAAAGACUUAAACUACUUCAGUCUUUGUGCAUUGAAUUUAUUUAAUACACCAGUUUCACAAUUUGAGUUGAAUUACUGAAAUAAAUGAACUUUUCCACGACAUUCUAAUUUAUUGAGAUGCACCUGUAUGCUUUGAACUCCACCAGCCAGGUUACUCAGCUCCAACCUUGUUUUCCCUGGGCUACACAGAGUGAUCGCCUUCAUUGGGAGCAUCCUCUGCCUUUUAAUCGGGACAUAGUGGGGUUCCUGUCUGAAAAUAUGGCAGGAAGACUGAUUGAGAUUCCCAACUUUGAAUCUCUCCAUUUACUGGAGCCUCAUGGCUUGUUGUCCACUGAGACUCACACAAGUUCCACAUUGGGCAGCUCACUCUUUCACCCAGCCUUCCCUGGUUUACCCAGGGUUUCCACACUCUUUCCACAAAUCACAGGAAUGUGGCCAAUGCUAUUGUGCCCUCUGUUCCCCGUUCGCAAAACUUUGGUGGCAUGAGUGAAUGAAACACCUUGCAGUGUAACAGUACAUGUUCUUCCUACACACUGUCCUUUUGGAUCUUCUGUCCUUUCAGACUCAAGAAAUUAUAUGUUGAGUUCCAGGAAGGAUUUAGAAUUGUAUGAAGCAACACCAGGAUGCUGGCAGGGUCUCUCCAAGCAACUGAGGAAGUGGCUGCACUUCAAGCCCAUCAAAACAUGGAGGCUGCUUAAAAAGCGGUCCUCAACAAAGUGCAGUCAUGUUUGAUUUUCAGAUGCAGGUCAACAAAGAUACUUCACAGCUUCCUUUACAAGGAAACAAAUACAGAAUUAGAGCAUUAAAAUAAAUAACUUGUUUGACUGAUUAUCAUCUAAGAAGUUCAACCACAUCAGGUUUUGCUACAGCACUGCUAAUAGGGGAGACCGGGCCUGUUGUCACUGAUUACACAAGUGCAUAUUUCUCAGGGUGGGGUUAUUUUUGAAAGUCAAUGUAUGGACAUGAAGUCUUGACUAUAGAAAAGGCUAUUGAACAUUUCCAUUGUUAUUGCUCAGGAAAAAAAGUACAGUUCACUUAACACACACUGACAACAGCAAGUCAUAACAAGUGAUAUUCAUCUGGACAGGCAGGCAAAAAAUGGACUACUGUAGCACAGAUCAGAAUUUACCCUCCUACAUGUAAACAUACUGUAAGCAAGUAAACAUCACUGUAAUGUGUUUAUCAAUAGGUCUUUUGUUCAAAUAGAGAGGAUCUAGAGGUCUAGAGACUAUUUAAUUAUUUUUACAUGAACCUUAUCUGCCUUUGAAGUUCAACUAGCUUACUGGUAGUUGAUAAUAAUAAUAAUGCUUAACUAAUAAUUAACUAGCAAUUUAUUAUUGGUCCUGUUUUUAUUGUAUUUUUAUUUUUUUUUAUUUCAUACCUGCUGAUAUUGAUUUGAAAAUGAAUAUAAAAUUAAAUUAAAUUUGACAUAUUGUCUUUCUGUAUGAGGAUAGUGAGGUAGUGGGUAAGUUAAGCUACUAAAUGUAUCUAGGAAUCAUAAAAUUAUUACUGUGUGAACAUAUGAUCAUAAGGAACCCAUAAUUGUUAACAUCUGAAACUGAGAAGGUAAAUGUAAAGUAUGUUUAAUGCUAACGCUGUUGGCAUGUCUUGCUGGUGUCGUUACGGAGUGUAUUUCUGAAUUUUAUUUACAUCUCUUUUAAAGGGAUAGUUCACCCAAAAAUGAAAAUUCUUGCAUCAUUUACUCAUCCUCUUGCCUCCCCAGAUGUGUAUGACUUUAUUUCUUCUGCAGAAUACAAAUGAAGAUUUGUUAGAAAAUAACUCAGUUCUGUAGGUCCAUACAAUGCAAUUGAAAGGUGGCCAGUGCACAUAAAGGCAGCAUAAAAGACUCCAGUGGUUAAAUCCAUAUCUUCUGAAGCGAUGUGAUAGGUGAGGGUGAGAAACAGAUCAAUAUUUUAGUCCUUUUUUACUAUAAAUCUCCACCUUUGACCAGACCUGACCAGUAGAUGGUGAUAUGCAUAAAAAAUGCAAAUUACCAAAAAACAAAAGAAGAAUGUGAAAGUGGAGAUUUAUAGUAAAAAAAUGACUUAAAUAUUUGUCUGUUACUCACCCAAACCUAUUAUAUUGUUUCUGAAGACAUGUAUUUAACCCCUCAUAUGGAUUACUUUUAUGCUGCCUUUAUACGCUUUUUGGAGCUUCAAAGUUCUGGACAACCAUUUACUUGCACUGAAUGAACCAACAGAGCUAAGAUAUUCUUCUAAAACCUUUGUGUUCUGCAGAAGAAAGAAAUUCGUGCAUAUCUGGGAUGGCCUGAGGGUGAGUAAAUGAUGAGAGAAUUUUCAUUUUUGGGUGAAUAAUUCUUUUAAAUAUAACAUUAUACUUGGUGAAUCUUUGUGUUUCAGUUAUAGGAGAUACAAAAGGAUAUAAUAACAACUUUUUCAAACAGA